rnacentral:rRNA from 1 species
AUGGGGUGACUGCGUACCUUUUGUAUAAUGGGUCAGCGACUUAUAUUCUGUAGCGAGGUUAACCGUAUAGGGGAGCCGUAGGGAAACCGAGUCUUAACUGGGCGAAUGAGUUGCAGGGUAUAGACCCGAAACCCGGUGAUCUAUCCAUGGGCAGGUUGAAGGUUGGGUAACACUAACUGGAGGACCGAACCGACUAAUGUUGAAAAAUUAGCGGAUGACUUGUGGAUGGGGGUGAAAGGCCAAUCAAACCGGGAGAUAGCUGGUUCUCCCCGAAAGCUAUUUAGGUAGCGCCUCGUGAACUCAUCUUCGGGGGUAGAGCACUGUUUCGACUAGGGGGUCAUCCCGACUUACCAACUCGAUGCAAACUGCGAAUACCGAAGAAUGUUAUCACGGGAGACACACGGCGGGUGCUAACGUCCGUCGUGAAGAGGGAAACAACCCAGACCGCCAGCUAAGGUCCCAAAGUCAUGGUUAAGUGGGAAACGAAGUGGGAAGGCUCAGACAGCCAGGAUGUUGGCUUAGAAGCAGCCAUCAUUUAAAGAAAGCGUAAUAGCUCACUGGUCGAGUCGGCCCGCGCGGAAGAUGUAACGGGGCUAAACCAUGCACCGAAGCUGCGGCAGCGA